rnacentral:rRNA from 1 species
AGAGUUUGAUCCUGGCUCAGGAACGCUGGCGGCAGGCCUAACACAUGCAAGUCGAGCGGUAACACAGAGAGCUUGCUCUCGGGUGACGAGCGGCGGACGGGUGAGUAAUGUCUGGGAAACUGCCUGAUGGAGGGGGAUAACUACUGGAAACGGUAGCUAAUACCGCAUAACGUCGCAAGACCAAAGUGGGGGACCUUCGGGCCUCAUGCCAUCAGAUGUGCCCAGAUGGGAUUAGCUAGUAGGUGGGGUAAUGGCUCACCUAGGCGACGAUCCCUAGCUGGUCUGAGAGGAUGACCAGCCACACUGGAACUGAGACACGGUCCAGACUCCUACGGGAGGCAGCAGUGGGGAAUAUUGCACAAUGGGCGCAAGCCUGAUGCAGCCAUGCCGCGUGUAUGAAGAAGGCCUUCGGGUUGUAAAGUACUUUCAGCGAGGAGGAAGGCGUUAAGGUUAAUAACCUUGGCGAUUGACGUUACUCGCAG